CAACAACAAGAGUCAUUUUAAAACACACUUCAAGAAAACCACGAUAGCACACCAACCAAUUUAAAAAUGUACUCGUUUGUUAAAGCCACCGACUUCUUCACCAUCCUGUUCUUUCUAGCCACUGCAACUGUCGCAAUCUCCUUUAACACAUCUGAACUAGAUGUGCUCGAGAGGGCUCGAGCUUCGGUGGUUGAAGCGAGAACUAGGUUUGGUUCAAUGGCAACGGUUGAGGCAACAAAUGAAGUUGCUAGAAGUUAUUAUAGUUUGGGUUUAAGUGACUGUGAGAAGCUAUACGAUGAAAGUGAGGCAAGAUUGUCAAACCUUGUAGUGGCUCAUGAGAAUUUCACCGUUGAAGAUGUCAGAACGUGGCUAAGCGGCGUGCUCGCUAACCAUCACACUUGUUUAGACGGCUUGGAUCAGUCACGUCAAGGCGACAAGCCUUUGGUCCAUAGUAACAUUACGGUUGUUCUGGGAGAAGCUUUGGCUUUCUACAAAAAAACUAGAGGUCAUCUAAAAAAGAGGAGACCUAACCAUGCACCGACGAGACAACACCAUGCAAUGACUAGACCACACCAUGGACCGACGAGACCAAAUCAUGGACCAGCCAGACCAUACCAUGGACCGGCCAGACCAAAUCAGAGCGGAGGAAUGUUAGUGUCAUGGAAUCCGACAGGGUCAAGGGCGGAUUUCGUGGUGGCUAAGGACGGUUCAGCAACUCAUCGGUCGAUAAGCGAGGCAUUAGCCGCCGUUUCAAGAAUGGGUAAAAGUCGGACGAAUAGAGUGAUAAUCUACAUAAAAGCGGGUGUGUAUAACGAAAAAAUCGAAUUAGAUAGACACAUGAAGAACAUCAUGCUAGUUGGUGAUGGUAUGGACCGUACAAUCAUCACCAAUAACCGAAAUGUCCCGGAUGGUUCCUCGACUUAUGGAUCAGCCACAUUCGGGGUGUCCGGAGAUGGAUUUUGGGCACGGGACAUGACGUUCGAGAACACGGCAGGACCACAUAAACAUCAAGCUGUGGCAUUGAGAGUGAACUCGGAUUUGUCUGUAUUCUAUCGGUGUAGCUUCAGAGGAUAUCAAGACACUCUUUUCACACACUCGCUUCGUCAAUUCUACCGCGACUGCCAUAUUUAUGGUACGAUUGAUUUCAUAUUUGGAGAUGCGUCUGCUGUUUUCCAAAACUGUGAUAUAUUUGUCAGACGGCCAAUGGAUCACCAAGGCAAUAUGAUCACAGCUCAAGGAAGAGACAACCCACAUGAAAAUACAGGCAUAUCGAUCCAAAACUCACGGGUCCGGGCCUCACCAGAAUUUGAGGCGGUUAAAGGCCAGUUUAAGAGCUACUUGGGCCGGCCGUGGAAGAAAUACUCUCGGACGGUGUUUCUCAAGACGGAUCUCGACGGGUUGAUUGACCCAAGAGGGUGGAGAGAAUGGAGAGGAGAUUUCGCUCUAUCAACUUUGUAUUACGGCGAGUUUAUGAACACCGGAAGUGGAGCAGGGACUAGUAGAAGGGUGAGCUGGCCAGGGUUUCACGUUCUUCACGGCGCCGACGAAGCUUCUCCGUUCACUGUCAGCCGAUUUAUACAAGGAGAUUCUUGGAUCCCUAUCACCGGGGUACCAUUUUCUGCCGGGGUUUGAGUCGGUCUUUAAGUAACUCGAUGAAGCCAGAGGAGUCGACCAGAGCUGAGUAAGACGCAUUCUCUUCCGAAGCCGUCAUGGUCCUAGACACCGUUCUGGUCCUGACCACUAACUAUUCUAUGAUCUAAACCAGCUAUUUCAUACAACUCUAACCUCUGAGGUUGUCCUAGACACCGUUCUGGUCCUGACCACUUCCAUGAUCUAAACCAGAUAUUUCACACAACUCUAACCUCUGAGAUACGUGACAUGAACCUUGGGGUAUCAGUGGGGUUUGAGCCGGUCUUUAAGUAACUCGAUAAUAAUAUCAACGCGCAGAAAUAUACAGAAGCCUGAGGAAGAGACCAGAGCUGAGUAAAACGCAUUAUCAUCCGAACCCGUCAUGGUCUUAGGUCCGACUUGUUUCCCCGGGUGGUAUCACAAACGAGCUUUUACGAUUGGUAGGGAUCGACAUCAUUUCGAAACAAUCAUAUAAACCGCUACAAAUUGUUUUAAACCGUUCCGAACUUCUUAAAAUCAAAAACUGAUUCUAUCUAACGUUUGCGGUUGCGGAUGGAUAAAUUAAUAUAAAAUUAUUUUAAAAAAUAUUUUUAAAAUUUAAAAUUAAAAUUUUAAAAUAGAAAUAUUAGAAAUAUAUACACAUAUUUUAUAUAUUAAUUUAAAUUCACAAAGAGUAACAUAAGUAAACAUAAUAUUAUUAUAAAUCAUAUUAUAUUAAUAAUCAUUAUAUUUUAUCACAAUAAUAUGUUUUUAUAGUUUUAUAAUGUUAUAAUAUGUUAAUAUUGAUAAUUUAUUAUUAAACCGUUGCAAUAUUUCAUAAUUAACCAGUUAUAAAUAUCCUGCAAACGCAAUAAUUUUUAAAUAUUAUGCCAGUCGUAAUGUUUAAUAACGCUUGGAACUGUAAUCUGCAUCCGUAAAUUUCCGCAUCCACAACCGUAAAUUCUUGUGAACCAGUCUGGCCCAAGACGAUGAGUUCUCUAAGCCCAUUAUCUUAUUUUGGGUCUGUUCUAUACAUUUUUGAACUUGACUAUAUAAUGACUUCACCAAUCGACUACAGAAUCCUAGCCAGUAUACUAUUCGUCAGUAGAUGUUGGGGCUGGACAUUUGGAUAUUAUGCAAGGUUCAUGUCAGAUAUUCAGAUAACAUAUUUCGGUUUGAAAAUAUUGAACUAAUCUGAACCCACACCAAAAUUUAAUUAUAAUUUGAGUAUUUAGAAUACUAAAAACAUAAUAAAUAUUUAGGUAUAUAUUAAUAUUUUGUAUUAGUAGAUUUUUGGUUUGCGUUUGGAUUGUCUUUUUUUUUUUGAAUAUAUCGUUUAAAUAUACAUCAUAUUGGAUUUGAUAUUAGUAUGUGUGGUAAACAAGGUAACGAUAUAUAUUCCUUGUGCUAAAAUUGGUAACUAGCAUCUCUUUGUGGAUUUAUAAAAUUCUUUUAGAAUUUUAUUUUUAUCAUGGCGGAAUAUCCAAAGA